GCCCACCCCAUAGCUCAGUGGUAGAGCAUCAGUUUUGCAUGCAGAAAGUCCCAGGUUUGAUUCCCAGCCUCUCCA